rnacentral:misc_RNA from 1 species
CGGGAAGAUUUGCCCAAGCGCAGAUUAAGCGGGAUCUUUUUUGAUUGGCAGUGGCCGUAGCGCCUUAGCUGCCAUGUUUUGUUAAAUUCUUCAGUGUGUGGAGGAAUUUUGUUAUUCAACAUCCGCCCCUAACAGGAAGGUAUAGCUACAAUGGCGUUACACAGAAGACGAUUUCCGCACUAAACUACAUAAUACACUAAUACAACAUUUUCCCUAUCAAGAUGUCCGGACAGCAGCUUUAAACCAUGUUUCUUCUAAACGAGGAGAGCCUGCAAACAAUUGUUUGGCCCCCCAUUAGAGAAAAAGUCUCUAUAAAUCCUAACGCGGCACCUCAGACAUUUAUUUUUUAAAACAUAUUAUGAAGUACCCUCAAGUGGUGUCAAUGCCUUCGGCCGUCUCUAAUUGGCUAGAUGAACAGUUGGAAGCUCGUGGUAUCGAUGCAGUAGUAUAUACUCGCUAUAUCCUCAGUUUGCUACAUUCACAUACAGUCGACGUCUUGUAUCCAGAGGACGAUUUCCAGUUUCCAUAUUCUCACUCUAAAAAAGACGUGAGAAGAUACAACAGAGGUUAUUUAGGAUCGCACAGGUCCUCAUCUGAUUGGUGGAGACAUGUGCAUGCUGACGCUGAACAAAUCAAACGUUCAGCUGCCAUUAAGUGUCUCUUGUCUGCCUCUGAACAGAACUGCGAAAUAGAGUCUCUGGUUGACGAACUUUGUGAAAAACUGAAGGAGGUCAAUAGCGAAACCACGUUUCCCCACUUUAACUCGUCAGAAGUUAUAGCUGAAACUGUCUACGAAUCCAAGAAGAUCACGCCUCAAGAACUUGCCGAAAAGUAUUACGCCGCUUUCCCCCCUCUUUGUCCGCAAUCACCCUCCGAAUCUAAAUUGUUGUCGUUGAUACCCAAGUGGAGAAACGUCACCGCCUCCUCGUCUCCGUUGGUUACUUCUCCAAUCAAGAAGAAAUCGACCAGGAAGAAUUUGAAAAUCGGCAACGGAAACAGAUCCCAUGCCAAAGAAAGUCACGAUACAAUGAAAGCUCGCAACCAAACUAAACAACGUCUCAACUGUUUAGCUCGUAACAAGAACAACUUGCGCAACAACGCCACUUUCAACGGCUGGGACCUGAGCUUCUACCCCGCCAACAAUAAAAAGUUCGCAAACAUUAAACGAAAAGAGGAUCAGUCCGACAUGGAGGAGUCUUUCGAUCAAUGCGUAGAAAUUAACAGUAACAUUUGGGACAAUGAAGACGAAGUUAAUAUGUAUGAGGAUUUGCCUGUAGACAUCAUAGAUUUGCUGGAUUCUCCGAGGCCAAGUGAUGACACAGUUGAGAUGAUGAACAUCGCCAAUAUGAGAGAUACUGGAAAGAGGAGAUUUAUCCCAUACGGGACAAGCAUUAUGAGCUCCAUUUGGUCAACUGAUCAAGAUGUAACCUUUGACAAUAAUUUCAACUCAACCAUCGAUGCCUCACAGAACGUCGCCAACAAUACAGAAUUUACUCUAGACUUCAAAUUUAGCGCAAUCUCCAUUGACAAUCCAUCUGUCAAUUCCUCAUUCGAUGAUUGGCCACCAGCUAACUCUAUGGUUGAAAACGAGACCAACGCUCUCUUCGAAACAAACAAGGACUUCAGACACAAAUAUUUCUCCAAUGACUUCCAUAGCCUUCCUGGUAACUGGAGCGUUGGAGAGGGAAGAAAGGUGGACGAGGAGAAGGAAAUAUAUGAAACGGAAAAACUGUUGGCUUUCAGCUUGAUGAAGUUAAAUCAUAAUAAGGAGAAAAGUGGUUUUCAAGAAGUAACGCCAAGAUCUGCGUCUCAGCCAAAAGCCUUUAACCCUUUUGGAAAAUCGGUGAAUACCUUUAAUUUCAAGGCUGACAGGGAUUUUAUUGAGAACUCAGAUAAGGAGGAUUUGCUAACAUCAGAACGUUCUCAUUUUAAGCCUAUUUGUGAAAAAGAUGAGGUUCGACAUCAAUCUAAAUAUGCUGAUGGAGCAACAUUUAUAAUUUCCAAUAAUCUUGAUAAGGUGGAUUACAAACGAAGUGAAAGUGGUACGAUGUGGCUUGAAACAGAAUUCGGUCAGACUAAAAAAUAUUAUGAAUACAAGACGCAUGGGAAGCAUGUUUUUACUGAUUCAGUGGAACUUAUUCUUAAGUUUAGUAUUAACGAAAAUGACAAAGCUUGCCAAACGGAUGAUUGGGAAUCAGAUAACGAGGUCGAAAAUUAUACUAAAGUUGAGAAUAAAAUGAGCGUCAAUGAAAUGCCACAGUCUUCCACAAACAACGAUGAUCACUUAGAAAAUCCUCAGCACCACUGUGCCUGCCCUGACCUCACUACAGCCAACGCGACAACCACUGCUUUGAACAAGGAUAACUCUUCAGCUUGCCCUACAAACCUCAUCCAACGCCCUGAAAGCAUGCUCAGCGAAGUUGUGUGGAAAUACGAAGAAAAAUCGUGCGAGAAAUGUCAUGGAAAUAACAUGGCAUGGAGUAAUAAUGAUUGGUCUUCUAGUAAUAAGGGGCAGGUCGAUUCUGAUUGGGCUGAAAAUGGAUUAAGAAGUAUCUGGAGUGGAGGAGAGAUUUGUCAGAAUUGUUUGGUCCUAAAUGGUUCUAACCUACCCCGGCCUGCCCCUAACCACCAACUUCGCGAAGACAUCAGCCAAGAUGGCGAACAGCUUCUCUCUGAUUUAAGUACCAUACAGAAGUGCUACAUGGACGAUCUACCUGUCGUCGCUGAACGCUCCUUGGACAUCUUAGAACUGCUCUCGUCCGGCGUCGUUCCCAAAGAACGCAAAAGAAGGCACUCACUCACAGUUGAUCACAAUCCAGACACGUGGAGCUUCGCUUCGCGCAUCGAAGAAGAUUGUCUCAUGCAAUUGGCAGCUUUGCCAGCCCUGAGAGCCGUAACACUGUAAGAAAACACGAUAGGUUGGGUGAGUUAUGAUAAAGUCGGGAAAAGAAAUGAAAUUAUUGAUAUGUGGUGGAAUUUUAUAGAAACUUGGUAGGUGGUCCAACGUUUUCAAUUAUUAUUCUUUUACUUUGACUCUUUAUUAUUGCCGUGAAAAUUGUAAUACAUUUAUUUAAAAACGAUGGUUAAUUUUAAUUUACAUUUUUUGAGCCAUAUUUAACUGUUCAUUGCUGACAACGUGUAACCAAUAUGAAAGAAAAUUAUAUGAGCGCCAACUAUGGUAGUAUCUUCUUCUUCAUGUACCAUGUCUUUUUAGAACGUUGGUUACCAUCAUAGCUAUCUUAAUUUUAGUCGUCGCCGGCCUAAAUAGCAUGCUUGUAUCAAUACCAUACCAAUCUCACAAGUUUUUAAACCAUGAAGUUAUUCUUCGUCCUGGACUGCAUUUGCCUUCUAUUUUCCCUUGCAUAACAUUUUGUAGCUACCUAUAUUUGGGACUUCUCAUUACAUGUCCGAAAUACAGUGGAACCCCGAUAACCCGGAAGUCCAACCCGGACCGAUUUUCAUCAGACAAACAUUUCAACGAUAAAAAUGUAUGUAAUAUAAUAUUUGAGAGAUAAUGUGUAUUUGUGUAAUUUGAACUAUACGAUAGAAAAAAUGACUCAUGGCACAUAGACUAAAAGACUAUUUAAAAAAUUAUUUUCUAAACAAUGGUCUUAGUCUCCACUGUUCUUAAAUAACUUAACAUUCCGAUUGUGACCGUAUUGUGUGUAGUAUAGUCGUAUUUUUCGCUUCCGUUCUAUAAUCGUACCUCAGAUAGGUUUGUGUUUGCGUGUUUUUUGUCUACGCAUGAGUUUUUUUACCAAGAAAUGAACAAUAUUCUAUACUCUACACAACUAUACGUAAUUUAGAUGUGUACUGUGCAUAUAUAUUUCAUGUUAUUUCAAUUAUAAAGAAGUUUAUCACCGUAUUUUAUUAACUUUUACCAUAUUCUCCGGCUAACCCGGAUCGGCCGCGCUCCCGAUUAAUCCGAGUUAUCGAGGUUCCACUGUACUCAAUUCUCUUCUUGGUGCUUUUUAUAAUCUCAAUAGUCGUGCUGAGACGUUCUAUUAGUAUUGUGGAGUUUCGAAUCUUCUCCACCAAAGAAACUUUUAAAACUCCAUAGCACCAAAUUUCGAAAGCCUCAAGGCGAUUGAGAUCAAUUUUAUUUACAGUCCAAGACUCGACGCCAUAAAGUAAGACCGAAAACACGUAGCAGCGAAGUAGGCGGAUUCUCAAUGCCAAUUUUAGGCCUCUAUUACAUAGUAGACGACUUUAAAAUGUAUUAAAAUGUAUAAUAUAUGUCUGAAUUGCCGAUAUGAAUGAGUCAGAUUAAAUUAAGUUAUUAGAAGAUUUGUUUUACUAAGCAACAUAGACAAAAUUUAUUUAAUUUAUUAAUAUUUUGUAUUUCAAUAACAGCUUCUGAAGUUGAAGUCGAAACGUCAAUAAAUUUCAUUUUUAACUUAAAUUGUGGCUUAUUUCCCAAUAAAAUCGUAAAUUGCAUAAGAUGCCACAAAGAAACAGCUUCAGAACAAUACCCUUGUUUUGAAGUAAUCUGUCAAAUUACACAUAGAAAGAAGUCUUACUUCACUUUUAUUUAUCACAUAAAUAAUAACAGAUAAUAAUAAUGUCAGAUAAGUCCCAUCUCCCGUAUUAUCAAUACGUCCCCGAGAGAAUGCUUGAGGAUGGCAACUACAAGCUAUACUGGGACCGCACUGUGCACACAGACCAAACAAUGGCACAUAAUAGACCAGAUCUCGUACUAAGACAAACAACACUAAUUGAUGUGGCGAUACCUAACAACAAUAAUCUACGUAGUAAAUUUACUGAAAAGAUCGCCAAGUACAGAGAUCUGGAAAUUCAAAUACGAAGGCAAUGGAGAAUGCAAAGUACCCAGACGAUACCGAUUAUUAUGUCUACUACUGGAGUCAUUCCGAAGACCCUCCUCGAAAGCAUAAAAAAGCUGGGUCUAAAUGAACGCCUUUAUAAGACCAUGCAGAAAGCUGUACUACUCGCGACGGCCAGAUGCGUACGAAAAUUUCUGGGAGAAACUCCAGCAUACGAAGUCACCUAGGGCUCGAUAACACGGAAAGAGUCCCACCAGAGCUCAAUCCUUUUGAUACCGUAGGUAUCUGGGAGUGUGAGCCGUAUGGCUAAAUCUGGAUAAUAUGCAAAGUAGCAACUCUAUUUCUUCAUUAUUUGUGCCAGUUAAAGUAGCUAUUUCUAAUUGCUCUUCCAUAUUGUGAGAUCAGUAUUAUGGAUUAUGGUAUUCUUUAAAUGACAAAAUAAUUCAAGUCAACAUUUUACUCGUUUCAAUGAGCUUAUUUUAAUUUUUAAUCUAGGAUCUUAUCAUAGGUAACAAAUAGAACCUUAUAGGUUUUUCUGCUAUAGAAAAAUAUUUGUCUAAUAGUAUAUAUAAAAAAUGUCAUUUGUCAAAAUAAAAGAUUAUUUUAAAAUGUUACCAAUAACUCUAGUAUGCUGCAUUUCAAACGUUAGAAUCAGUGUGGUUGUAUAUUGCAAGCGGGUUUGCCGUAUUUCGCCCAUUCUGUGAAUUAUAAAUAAAUCCUCCUUUUGUAUACCAUGGCAGUUAACAGCGGUAAUCCUUUACAAGUACCUGCCUAGCGCUACCUUUCACGGCCACUGCCGUGAAGAGCGGCAAAGUUAUCAAGAAAAUUCUCAUUUAGUUUGCAUGACCCUAUCCUUUGUACACUGCAUCGCAUGUCUGAAAUAUGCUGUAGACAUGUAGUAUAUUGUACUUUAAUAAAGUAUCCUGAAAUAAAAGCGUCUUUCAUCUUAGCAGUUUCAAGUAAAUGUAAUGCAAGUCAACUAAAGCACAAUCUAUUGAUAUAAAUUUCAUGAUGAUACAAGAGACGAAACUUUUAUUACAAUUUUAUAUUAUGGCAAAUCAUUAUACGUUAAUUUGGUAAUAGAUGCCUUAGGCGAAUUUAUUAGAGUAGCAAUAUUUGAUAAUUCUUUAAGUUUACUGAAAAGUAAUGAAAUAAUUAAGUGUCCAAAGUUUAUGUAUUAUUUAAUUAAUACCCUUAAUUAAUAAUAAUACAAAAUAUAAUGAAAAUUUCAGUAGAAUAUAUAAAUUUCAAAGUACCUUUUCCGUUUGGACACAAUUUUAUAAACAAUUCCAAAUUAUUAAUUUUAUAUACAGACUGUUUAGUGUUUGAGUAGAUGUACCCCAAUGAAGGAAGCGCUAAAAUGAGAAAUGCGCACAAAAGAGAAAUUUUAUGACAAUGGGUUGCAUUGCCACUGUAGAAUGCAAUGAUGUAAAUUUUCGUUAGUUUUGAAUAUUUGUAACGUUUCGUUACUUUAACUAUUAUUACCCGGUACUUUAUACUUGUUACGUUCGGUACUUUUUGUUUUUAGGUAGUGUUAAAUAUCAAAUAUUCAUAAUUCAUAUCCGAUAUUGAGCAGUAUAAAUUUAUCACCCCGUAUUAUCACAUCAGCCAAUUUGUUAUUAUAUUUAAACAUGUGCGGGUUAUUUAAUUUGUUUAAUUGUUGCAAUUCAUAAACUAUAUUUUGGCAAUGGACAUUAAUUUAGCUGACUAAGUAAAAACCUUUGUUCUUUUGUCGUGUGGGCUAUGACCCAAUUCAUAUUGCCAACAAGAGAGAACCUACUUUUAGAAUCAUUCAUUAGAAUCAACUCAACCAGGCCAGAUGUGCCUUUGACUUCAUUCCUUCGAGUAACUUCAACGAGUCAAUAUGUAGCAUUAUAAUACACUAAAACUAAUUCGCGUACGAGCCACAUAUCAGUACGACUACGUUCUCCCGGGGUUGGUUCUACUACCCUGAUGUCAGUCGCUAUCAAUAAAUUAUCUAAGUGCUAUUGGUGUUUCAAUAACAGACGAUCAUCCUCCACUGAACCCGAAGAUUAGACAGGUAGAGUACAUCCACUCGAAGCAAACAAAUAUUUCAAACUAACAAAGUGAAAUAUUAGAUUCUUUUUCUGGUUUCUGGACCAUCGUUCUGUCAACUUUUCAUUUGUAUUAAAAAAUAGUAAAUUUAUUUUUAUUACAGUUGUAGUACUUAAUAAAGUAAUAAAUAGAGUAAUAUCAAACAAACCGUAAACCGAUUCUCUUCGGCAGACCUCUUUAGUGUUUACAUUUCACCCCGUCACCGCCUCGGUUUAUCUUCCGAAGUACUAAAAUACCGACAUGGACAAGGCAAUCGACAAAGUUUUUGUUUGAUUUGGUGUUACCGAAAUCUGGGUAUUUCGCCAAUUUACUUGUUGUUUUGUUCUGUACCGAAAGUACCGAGUAACGAGUAUUUCUACCAACGACGGAUCGGUACUUUGUGUAUUGGGCAAAUACCCGUUAUAGACGGAGAGGCUGAAAAAUCUCUUUGAAUUUACUAAAGCUAAAUUUUUCACAGUUGAUUACUGUGAUUGUGUAGAGAAACAUACUGCGGUCGGUCAAGCGAAACGUAGAACAGGGGUUACUGAGAGGGUAUCAAAGUUGCUUUCCUACGAAGGUAAUUAAAUCCAUUUACUAAGGCUGAAAAUCAGUACACACAUUCUAAAUUGAAUAUAAAUAAAAGUUAUUAUAGUCGGUCAGCUGUAUGACGGGACAGAGCCGGUCGGUCGGUCCCAAUGAAUGUACAGGGUUAUUCAAUAUAUUUUGACCCCCUUGUAAACUGCUUUAUUUACAGAAUUAGAAAAAAAUGUAAAAUACAAAAGUUAUUCGAUUUUUUAAGUAUGAUUUUUUGACAUAUCGUACUAGUGACGUCAUCCAUCUGGGCGUGAUGACGCUAUCGACUAUUUUUUUUAAAUGAGAGUAGGGGUCGUGUGCUAGCUCAUUUGAAGGGUUAUUCAAUUCUCUAUACAGUACUAUAAACAUUAAGAUCAUUAUUUAUACAGGGUGUCAAAAAAAUUUUGAAUUAUUAAUUAAACAAUUAAUUUAAUUAAAAAAAAUUUUUGGACACCCUGUAUAAUUAAUCAUGUUAGUGUUUAUAUUACUGAAUAGGGAAUUGAAUAACCUUUCAAAUGAGCUAGCACUCGACCCCUAUUUCCAUUUAAAAAAAUAGUCAAUUACGUCAUCACGUCCAAAUGGAUGACGUCGCUAGUAUGAUAUAUAUGUCAAAAAAUCAUAAUUUAAAAAUCGAAUAACUUUUGUAUUUUACAUUUUUUUCUAAUUCUGUAAAUAAAGCAGUUUACAAGGGGGUCAAAAUAUAGUGAAUAACCCUGUACAUUCACUGGUGCCGACCGACCAGCUCUGUCCCGUCAUACAGCUGACCGACUGUAAUAACUUUUAUUUAAUUACUUUCGUAGGAAAGCAACUUUGAAACCCUCUCAGUAACCCCUGUUCUACGUUUCGCUUGACCGACCGCAGUAUGUUUCUCUACACAAUCACAGUAAUCAACUGUGAAAAAUCUACCUUUAGUAAAUUCAAAGAGAUUUUUCAGCGCUGCCUCUUGGACUAUUACAUUGCAGUGGAUAGGCACUUUUUUACAUGGCUAGUGGCUAGUAGAAUGACGAAUGACUGAAUGAAUCGGAGUGACAUCAGGUGGGACGCAGUAUUGCCAUUUAUAAUGCGUAUAUCUAAUUGAAAACUAAAUGGUCUGUAUGUAUAAGUUCAUUAUAAUUAACGUUUAUAAGCGUUUUUCUAGCUUAUAUAAAUAAUUUGAGAAGUGUUGUAGCCACACCAAGUAACAUACACCAGUGUAACUUUUCCCGGUUUUUUCAUAGCGUCUCCCGAUCUUAAGGUUAGAUUUUGGCUUUGGAUUAUAAGAGCGGCAUCCGAUAUCGUGGUACGUCGUCAAGACGGCGUCUAAAAGAUAACUGCCAAAUUUGUUUCAGUGCAGAAUGUAGGAGCUCUUGUUAGGGAACAAGACUCGGUACAACACGAUCUGGUAUGCCGCAUGCUCUUUGCUUAUACAUAUUUAUUAUAUAGAAAAAGUUGUGAAAGGCUCCACAGGGAAGCCCUAAGGCUUUGUUAUGUUGUGCAUAUUUAUAGAUAAAACAGAUUCAAGCGAGAAUACUUUAGGUAUAGGGAGGCCGUUCCGUUUUCGACGUUUUAUUUUUGUUUUUUGUUAUUUUUGAUGGACCGCCUCCCUUCUACUGCAGAUUAAAAUGUAGGUGGAUAACGAAGAUUUUUUGUUAAAAAGUAUGGUCUAUACUUUUAAUUUGUUAAGUGAAUAUUUGUCCUUUCCCUUAUCCCAUUCCCCAUUCCUACAGUCCCUUGAUAGUACAAGAUGUCGGUCUGGAAAAGAAGAUGCAACGAAUCGGACUUGGCAAUGCUGGUAGUGCAAAGUAGAUUUUAAUAACAAUGAAUUUAAUGCAGAGAUUAUGUAUAUAUAAGUUACGAAACACAAUACCACAGUGUGCCUAUAUUCGAAAGUUUUAUGUAUAAUUCCUACAUACACUUUUAAAAACUUAAUGUAAAAAGUAUUUUCUUUAUAUAAUCAAAAUGGAUUGGUUCUUAUAGCCCUGGAUCCCGCGCCCCAAAAAAGAGUUUAUUAAUUAGCAAGCUGAAAAUUUGUUCAUUGCGUAACGGCGUUGAGUCGGACAAAUUUUGAUAUACGGGAACACUGGUUCAGGGAAGCCUCAAUUGUGGAACGUGAUAAACGUGUUAUCCUGACAAGUUUAUUAUUGUGAAAACUAGCAGGUUGUUUUUAAAUUUAUUCAAUAGCUAACAUUAAUAUAUGUAUAUGAAAAAAUGUUUGGCAUUUUAAUAAGUCCGAUACGUAGAACAUGUCAAAUGACAGGAAUUAUGUUGUUGAAACUAGCAGUCUGAUUUUUGCAUGAGAGUUUUUAAUGAAAGGGUAAAAAAAUCAAUUGGAAGUUUUGUCUGACAAAAUUCAUGAGACGUUUUCGUAGUCUGAUGUUCGAAACCUCUAAUUUUUGUCUAUAUCUUAAAGUUUCGAACAUCGGAUUACAAAAACGUUCCAUGAAUCUUGUCGGACAGAACUUCCAAUUGAUUCUUUUACCCUUUCUUUAAACUCAUGCAAAAAUCAGAAUGCUAGUUAUGACCCGCAUAACUCCUGUCAUUUGACAUGUUCUAUGUGUAUUACAAACAUUUUUUCAUAUAUUAUAUAACGUGGCUAUUGAAUAACCUUAAAAACAACCUGCUAGUUUUCACAAUCAUAAGCUUGUCAGGAUAACACAUUUAUUACGGUCCACAAUUAAAGCUUCCCCUGUUCCAGUGUUCCCAUGCAUUGUCAGAUUCGACACCGUUUAGCUAUGAACAAAUGUUCAGCUUGCUAUUAAUAAACUUUUUUUUGUUACGGAUCCAGAAUUAUUAUACCUUAUCAUAGGAUUAUAAAUUUAUGCUGAGUCCUACAGAUUUUACUAAAUGUAUAUUUUUCCAGAUACUUUAGAUUUGAAACAUACACAGUGUUUAAAAGAGCCUUAACAAUUUUAACAAAUUUGCUAAAGUAAAAGAUGUAAUAUUGCAUUGAAAUGUUGUAGAAAAAAAUAUCUCGAUAAUGUUUCUGUGAUGUUACAGAACGAUUCCUGGACGUGUUCUUUUCCAGACCGACCUCCAAACAUCAAAUAGGUAUUUUAUUUAGGCAUUCAAAUUAUUUUUUGGUGUUAAAUUGUUUCAAAAUUUUUCUCAGUUUUUUUAAAAUCACACCGGCUGUUUUGGUUUUCUUUUUCUGUUGUAUAUAUAGUUUAUUGUUAAAUUUUUGUUCACAUUUUUAGCGAAAUCAGAUUUCACGGUGUGAUACAUUGAUUGUUUUUGAGAUGAUUAUUUAAUCAAUCAUCAUGUAACUUUUUAGAUCUGCCGAUAAUUAUUAAUGAGAAAAAAACGCACUGUAAAUGCACUAAAACGACUUCUUUAGAGGCAGGUCUACCAUCUUACGUAUUUUACAGUUGACGUGUUUUUUUCGCUAUUAAACGGAAAGUUUUUUUUGUAUUUAGGUGUUUUACAUUAUAGCAUAGAUCUUUUAUUUCAACAAAUAGAUACAAAACACCUUGUCGACUAGUUCGGACAGACAAAAAAUAAUAGAGUGGUUUCAAGUCUAAUCAAAAAAUUUGUUAAAAAAAAAACAACCAAAAAAAUGUUUUCGCUGAUAACCUCUCCUUUUAGUGGUAUUUAUCCAAUAGGUACUUGGACUUUAAUUUAAGACAAUUUAUUAAUCAAAAACUGAACAGAGGAUUUUAUCAAGAAUAUAAUAGUGUAUAUAGUUUAACAGUUUAAACAGCACAAUGCUCAAUAUCAAUAUUUGUUUUCCUGUUCAGUUUUAAUUUACGUUUUAUGUAUAUUAUUAUACUAGCUGGAAAAGGUUCUUAUUUCAUAAAGUGGUUUCUUUUUUAAGCUUUUUUUAGUAUCGAACUCUGUGCGUAUACACAUGUACCAUAUCCGUGAAUCCUACUCCGUCUAGAAUUUACAUGUAGCAUCUUUUUUAGCGGCGUUGGUUAAGUAAAUAGUGAUAAAAAAAUAAUACUAAUAGUUGAUUCUAUUAGUUAAUCUAAUUAAUAGACGUAACACCUCAAAGAUACGCUACUGAAUGCAUGCCUACAUUCCGAUCAGUUCGUUGGUCGGAGGCAUCCAGUAACUUGACGCGAGAAUGCGUCAUUCUACCUUCCGAUCGGUUCGCUGGUCGGUGUCCGGAAACGACGAGAAUAUGCGUCAUUCAACCCUCCUAUCGCUUGUCGGAGGUGUCCGGAAACUUGAAGCAAAAUUGCGUCAUUAUAUCUUCCGAUCGGUCCGCUGGUCGAAGGUGUCAUUCUGCCCUCCUAUCAGAUCUCCGGUCGGAAGUGUCCGGAAACUUGACGCAAAAAUGCGUCAGUCACUUGUUGGGUUCGUCUGGUAACUUGACGCAAAACUGCGUCAUUCUAUCUUCCGAUUGGUUCGCUGGUCGGUAUCCAGACACUUUUGUGCACCUCACGGGGCCCCUCCCUGAUAAGCGUCUGCUGUAAUUAGGAUUUGAUACUUUAACAGUCAGCAUUAAAUGGAACGAAUUACUACAGAAUUUCUGCUUCUUUAACGUUUACCUCGAUGCUUAAAAGAUAAGCGUCGACGUAGGAUUCGCCGACUUGUUGCAUCUAACAUUUAUUGCUGCCGAAUCAUCUGCUAUUUCAUUGGCCUUAAAGUGUAAAAAUAUUAGAUGUAUUUUUGGCACUACAAGAAACUACCAAAAAUACUAGAUUUGUUGUAAAAGGUAUAUUUUAAAAUACCCUAAAAGAGGGUCACAAGACAAAACGUUUUCGGAUUAAGAAAUCCAUCAUCAGUGUUCUAAAAGCCAAAAAAUAGCAUGCUUGAGCCAGCAUCCAAAAAUGGCAUCCCAUUUUUUUUACUUUUUUUAGGGUAUUUUAAAAUAUACCUUUUACAACAAAUUUAGUAUUUUUGUGAUUUAUGGUAUACAGCCAGCUACAGGAAGUUUAGUUUCCUCGUGGAUUAAGAAACUACCGACAAAAGUUUGCAAACAUCUUAGCGAUGCGAUUUAUGACUGCAUCUGCUGCAAAGACUGCUAGAAUUUUAAAAACUCGAGACAACUCGAAAGACUAUGUGAUAUAUGCACUGUUCGAACGGCAAUAUUUUGAUUGGUAAAAAUUAUCCAAUCAACAGUAAUUGUAGUUCAAAAACAGUUUUGCACGCCUCAUUGGUGACGUGACCGAAAAUUCGCAGAUAUGGGAAAAUUUGGUUUGCACAAGUGGUACAAAAUCGAACGAGGAAGGUAAUUGUGGGUAAAAAAAUCGUCUUACAUACCUACAGUAGGAAAAAUGAAAGAAAACCUAUGAACGAACAUAUAAAACACGCUGUAUUUUCCUGUCACCGUGUCAUACAAAAAAUUGGCCAGCGCAAGUACAUGUAAUAAUUAUUAUUACUGGUACUUGCGCUGGGCAAUUUUCUUUGUGACACGGUGACAGGAAAAUACAGCGUGUUUUAUAUGUUCCUGCAUGGCUAUUCUUUCAUUUUUCCUACUGUACAUAAUAUGUAGGUAUGUAAGUACAUAUUUCGUAUGUAUGUACAUAUUAUGUAGCUCACCCCUUAUUUUACAGGGGUCGAUGUUCGAAAGUGUACAUGUCGAAGAUUGGUCUCCGCACCGAUAUCCUUUGCAUAUACACACCUUAAUAAGCUGCGCAUUUGAGAAGCCUUAGAAGACGAAAAUAGUGAAACUUGACGCGAAAAUGCGUCAUUGACCUUCCGAUAGGUUCGCUGGUUAUCGCAUUUCCCAUCUCUAAUAAGUGACAAUCCUUGUCCAAAUAGAGACAUUCUACUGUCAUUAUAAACUUUUGUGGACCUUAACUACUAAAACUGUAAAAAGUCUAAAACAGCUUGCUGUUUUAUCGGUGUAGAUAUUUUAUCCCGCUACUAGAAGUCGGAUGUUUAUUUAGCGAAUUAUUUUGGUCUCCAUUUUCUUCUAGUCAUGCAAACCUUAAGGCUAUUUAUUUAAGCAAUUAUCAAAUCGCAAUAACGUGGAGUUUUAAAGUUUGAAAAAGAAAUUUCACUAAACUAGAUGUUUGUACAGAUAUAAGACCUUAUUCUUAUCCGAUAUGUAUAUCUAAAUAAAAAAAAUGAAAACAAAAGAGAAACCUUAGUUUUAGCAUUGUUUCUAAAUAACAAGGUCCUCACGGGACCGAUACGUAGGUAUAUAAAACUAUUUUUUAUCGGAAAAAAGUAUAUCAGAGUUUGCUUUUGUAAACAAAAAAUUUAAGACCUUGUAAGGUGUGUGGUGAGUGCUGAAUAUUUUAUCAAAUAUUUUCUAGGUAUUGUUACGGUUAGAGUAUUUGUAAAGAUUGCAUAUUUCUUUUUAAAAGAAAUUCACUUACUCGCACAGUAUGGUCUGCAAAUUUUUAAAGCACAAAAAAAUCAAUUAAGACGGGCGAUUUGCGUAGUACCGUUCUUGGCAUUUGUCGAGGUGCUGUAUAUUUUUUCCAACAAUGUAGUUGAUUUUUCUGGCCGAUUUUUUAUCGUUAGGUGUUGUGUCAAAUAACAAUGUUUUUAUAUUUGUUAUUUUUGCAACAUUUAUGUUUAAAAAAUUCGUUUAUUUUAACAAAAAGUGAUCACAAUCCAGUUUUAUUUAUGUGUGGCGUAAAAUAAAUUGUUUUGUAUAUUUGGUUUAACCACAUGAAAGUUUAUUUUAUUGCGCGUGCGCACUUUAACUUGAACGUAAUGGGGCAGUAUCAACUAUGAAGUAUGUUCUUUCUCUCUCACUUUCUCUAGUUCCAUUCCUCUUUAUGGAGUAUUAGGCGCUUAUGCGUGUCUUAGCCAAAAGUGUUAAGAUUGCUGUCUGGCCGGGUAAGCGUAUGUCCUAUACCAGGGGUUCUCAAUCGGUGGUACAUGUACCACUGAUGGUACAUUUCACUAGGUGCGGUGGUACACAAAACGCGAAACCACAGCCAAAAUCCAGCAUAUUUGUAGUUAAUUAAAUUACCUACCUCCAUAGAUUCUUCAGUUAGGUGGUACCAAAAAUAAUUAUAAGCAUUUUGGUGGUACAUGGCUCAAAAACAUUGAAAACCACUGUCCUAUACUAAAUUUAAAAUCAAGAUGCAGUAGAAAUAAACAAACCAAGACACGUUAAAUGCUACUAGGAGCACUCCCGAAUCAUACGUAUGUCCUAUACUAAAUUUAAAAUCAAGAGGCAGUAGAAAUAAACAAACCAAGACACGUUAAAUGCUACUAGGAGCACUCCCGAAUCAUAAUUUACAAUCUAUUUACAUUGUAAAUCCCAAAUCAUGAUUUCCAAAGUUUAUACAUUGUAAAGUAUGAUUCGGGAGUGCCCCUAAUAGCAUUUAACGUGUCUUGGUUUGUUUAUUUCUACUGCAUCUUGAUUUUAAAUUUAGUAUAGACAUGUAAAGAUAAAUCUUAUCCGUAUUUUAACACGUAUGAUAAUCCAAAUGUCAUACAGUCGGAAAAAUGAAAGAAUACCCAUGAACGAACAUAUAAAACACGCUGUAUUUUCCUGUCACCGUGUCACAAAGAAAAUUGCCAGCGCAAGUACAUGUAAUAAUAAUUAUUACAUGUACUUGCGCUGGCCAAUUUUUUGUGUGACACGGUGAAAGGAAAAUACUGCGUGUUUUAUAUGUUCGUUCAUGGGUAUUCUUUCAUUUUUCCUACUGUAUAUCGCUUUAAAGGUUGCUUAGUUAGUAGCGGCUUAGGGAUUCAUUAGCAAUAACGGCAAUUCAUUCAUUCAUGAAGAGUAGGAAAAUGUUUUAGAAUGGCCUAAAUGGACCAUAGGUACUAAUUGGAACUAUUUCUGACCUCAGGUCAUCAAUAUAGCAUCAGUUCACACGAGAGUUUGAAUGUUUCUCGAGGUUGCGUCAUUUGUUUUAAAGUGCGUACUCACAUGAUAAAUAAUAUUACCUCUUCAUUAAAAUAAAGGAUGUCCCCGAAAAUAGUGCGUUCCUUUAAGGUAUGGAUAUAAUACACAAUGUAGAAAAAAAACUCCUAUAACAUUUUUUCUAAAUUUAACCGUUUCCAAAAAUGAUUCAUUGUUCGCCAUAUAAGCGAACUUUUAUUUUCAUAAAAUUAACUAAUUUGUCAUCACUGUACAAGAACUGUUUGUGAUUUAGUUUGAAACAAACAAGAAUUUGUUUUUUUGUUUAGGAUGAAGACAGGGUUUAAUGUAAAUACUUAUGGCUAAAAUGCUGCAACUAUUUUUGAAUUGUGAUUGUCUAUGUUUAGAUUUUUGUAUACAUAGUUGUCAGAUUUCAAUUUGCAUACCAAAAUUUAUUUUGGUUUUUUAGCCAAACGGUUGCAUUUAGAAAAAAAUGGUACAAGACUUUUUUGCUCUACAUGGUGCCUUCUAUCUAUACCUUUAAGGAACGCACUAUUUUCGGGGACACCCUGUAUACUGCUCUGAUUCUAUGCAGAGGUUGCUGAGAAAAGUUUUAAAAAUCAAAAAAACGAGCUGAACUAUUAUAUAGAUAAAUUGCGUUAAUAUUAUUAAUAUUGCACAUAUUUAUAUGGGUUUGGUAGGCUACAAUAAUUGUACAAAAUCGUAAUAUAAUUCUAGUAGCUAAAUAUUAAUCAACACUAUUCAUUGUCCUGGACUUUCUCUAUUAACUUUUGACAUGUUAGUAACAUUCAUUCUAUGUGUAGCUUUAAUCAUAAUAUAAUUUAUAGAUUUAUUCGCUCUGAAUGUUGAUCCAUCACAAUUUGGCAAAAUUUCAUAUACACAAGUAUUCUUAGAAACAAUUUCAAUCCUCGAUCAAAUAUUUUAAUAGGAGAGUGAACAGUGGACCCUUAAACAACAAAUACACUAAACUUCGGAAAAAUAAUAAUCUAAAAAUGUUUGUACUUCAACAUUUUGUUUGUUGGAUAUACUAAACAUGUAAUAGGUGUAAAUGAUAUAAGUAAAAUUUAAUAAAAAAAGGAUGUAUGUAUGUGUACUUUGUAAACAAGAGCAUCAUCAGUGUUACAAGAACAUGGUGAGCCACCCAAAAAUACAAAGGUGAAAACCUUUUACAAAUAGACUAAAAGUCUUAUAUGUAUAGAAAUAUAAUAAAAUCCAAAGGAUGGAUAUAAAAUCUUAUGGAUAUGGCCUUAAGACAACAUAUAUGUUGUCCUAAAGCCAUAUCCAUAGGAUUUUAUAUCCAUCUUUAAAAGGUUUUCACCUUUGUAUUUUUGGGUGGCUCACCAUGUUCUUGUAACACUUCUUGUUACAGAGCGAAAACGUUUUGUUUCUAUGUUUGUAGCCUUAUAGGGGCUUUUUAAACUAAUAUACCUUUUACCAGGACAAAACAGUUUUUAUUAAAUUUUACUUGUAGUUAAUGAUAUUAAGCGAAAGUUAGUCUUAGCUCAAGAUAUAAUUCUUGAAAGAAUGCUUUUUGUAUCUAAUUAUAGUAAAACACGUUAUAUGUACCUACCCUCACUCGUAGUGCCACUUGUUGUAAAAGGUUUAUUUUGUAUAGAAUUGCUGGGUAAAUGUGCUGGAUAAGAUCACUUUUUGUAAACUAUAAUAUCCUUUCAUUUCAUGUUAAUCAUAUCAUGUUAUAAUAUUUUGAACAUCAUUUUAUUACGUUAAUUCCUAUUGAACGUAGUUUUCGAUUUAAAUAAUUUAAGUAUAAUUUUAGUAUUAUUAUUUUGAAGCAUUAUUCAGUCUUUUCUUUUUGGACUGAGUAGCAUGUACCGAUUGGAGUGUAUGUUUUUAUAAUUUUUUAAAUAAAUAUGAAGAAUUUAUGCACCAAUCGAUAUGUGUAGCAUAGAGUAGUAACUUUACUUUAGUGCCUCUUUACGAUAGAAUAAUUUCUACAUUUGCCUUAAUGAGAAUUAUAUGUAUUUACCUCUGCGGUCAAAAAUAUAUUGGGAUUCUCUAUUUCUAGCAUAGAAAUCGAGUUUCUAUUUUGGAAUAUGGCUAAAUGUAUGAAUAAUAUAUAAAAAAACAUAAAAAAAUCUAUUUGUUUUCAGCUAGAGUACUUGCUUCACAUGAAAAAAGUUUAUAUAAAGUGUACACUAAAGUAACAGUUUAUUCAUAUCUAGUUAUUAGUACAUGUUUGUAGCGUGAACUUCUUAUUUAUAAUAUAUUCAUCAGUAAACAUGGGAAAAUAAAGCAAGUACACUGAA